AUACGUAGGGGGCGAGCGUUGUCCGGAAUGAUUGGGCGUAAAGGGCGCGUAGGCGGCCCGGUAAGUCUGGAGUGAAAGUCCUGUUUUUAAGAUGGGAAUUGCUUUGGAUACUGUCGGGCUUGAGUGCAGGAUAGGUAAGUGGAAUUCCCAGUGUAGCGGUGAAAUGCGUAGAGAUUGGGAGGAACACCAGUGGCGAAGGCGACUUAUUGGACUGUAACUGACGCUGAGGCACGAAAGUGUGGGGAGCAAACAGGAUUAGAUACCCUGGUAGUCCACACUGUAAACGAUGAAUGCUAGGUGUAGGGGGUAUCGACCCCUUCUGUGCCGCAGUCAACACAAUAAGCAUUCCGCCUGGGGAGUACGGCCGCAAGGUUGAAACUCAAAGGAAUUGACGGGG
rnacentral:rRNA from 1 species